rnacentral:rRNA from 1 species
AUUGAACGCUGGCGGCAGGCCUAACACAUGCAAGUCGAGCGAGCGGCGGACGGGUGAGUAAUGUAUGGGGACUGCCCGAUAGAGGGGGAUAACUACUGGAAACGGUAGCUAAUACCGCAUACUAUCGGAUAACCCAUAUGGGAUUAGCUCGUGGGUGAGGUAAUGGCUCACCUAGGCGACGAUCCCUAGCUGGUCUGAGAGGAUGAUCAGCCACACUGGGACUGGGACCCGGCCCAGACUCCUACGGAGGCGCCGGAGGGGAAUUUUGCACAAUGGGGGCAAUCCGGAUGCAGCCAGUCCGCGGGUAUGAAGAAGGCCUUAGGGUUGUAAAGUACUUUCAGACAGGAGGCGUUACCGACAGAAGAAGCACCGGCUAACUCCGUGCCAGCAGCCGCGGUAAUAC